rnacentral:rRNA from 1 species
ACGCACGCUGGCGGCGUGCUUAACUCAUGCAAGUCGCACGGAAAGGCCCUGCUUUUGUGGGGUGCUCGAGUGGCGAACGGGUGAGUAACACGUGAGUAACCUGCCCUUGACUUUGGGAUAACUUCAGGAAACUGGGGCUAAUACCGGAUAGGAGCUCCUGCUGCAUGGUGGGGGUUGGAAAGUUUCGGCGGUUGGGGAUGGACUCGCGGCUUAUCAGCUUGUUGGUGGGGUAGUGGCUUACCAAGGCUUUGACGGGUAGCCGGCCUGAGAGGGUGACCGGCCACAUUGGGACUGAGAUACGGCCCAGACUCCUACGGGAGGCAGCAGUGGGGAAUAUUGCACAAUGGGCGGAAGCCUGAUGCAGCAACGCCGCGUGCGGGAUGACGGCCUUCGGGUUGUAAACCGCUUUCGCCUGUGACGAAGCGUGAGUGACGGUAAUGGGUAAAGAAGCACCGGCUAACUACGUG